AAACCAAUAUUAAAGGCAACGCCUGCCCAGGUGAACAAUUUAACGGCCGCGGUACCCUAACCGUGCAAAGGUAGCACAAUCAUUUGUCUAUUAAUUGUAGACCUGUAUGAAAGGCUAAACGAGGGCCUAUCUGUCUCUUGUAGUAAAUCAAUUAAACUGAUCUCCCAGUCCAAAAGCUGAGAUACCAACAUAAGACCAGAAGACCCUGUGAAGCUUAAACUAAACUAUUAAAUCUCAUAAUAGCUCCUUUCGGUUGGGGCGACCUUGGAAAAAAAAAGAACUUCCAAACACACUGACUUUAGUCAUCCCAGGCCAACAAGCCUAACAACGACCCAGCACAGCUGACAAUUGAACCAAGUUACUCCAGGGAUAACAGCGCUAUCUUCUUCAAGAGCCCAUAUCAAAAAGAAGGUUUACGACCUCGAUGUUGGAUCAGGACAUCCUAAUGGUGCAGCCGCUAUUAAGGGUUCGUUUGUUCAACGAUUAACA
rnacentral:rRNA from 1 species